AACGCAUAUUGCGCCCUCUGGUAUUCCGGGGGGCAUGCCUGCUCGAGCGUCAUUAUAACCCUCAAGCUAAGCUUGGUAUUAGGUCUCGUUCGUAAGAGCGUACCAUAAAAUCAGUGGCGGUGUCAUUCGGCUUCAAGCGUAGUAAAUUUUCUCGCUUUAGAGGUCUGGUUGUAUACUUGCCAAUAACCCUAAAAUUUUUAUCAAAGGUUGACCUCGGAUCAGGUAGGGAUACCCGCUGAACUUAA
rnacentral:misc_RNA from 1 species